UACGUAGGUGGCGAGCGUUGUCCGGAAUCACUGGGCGUAAAGGGCGCGUAGGCGGCAAUACAAGUCGCAUGUGAAAGACCAGGGCUCAACCUUGGGAGGUCAUGCGAAACUGUAUAGCUUGAGUGUAGUAGAGGAAAGCGGAAUUCCUGGUGUAGCGGUAAAAUGCGUAGAGAUCAGGAGGAACACCGGUGGCGAAGGCGGCUUUCUGGGCUACAACUGACGCUGAGGCGCGAAAGCGUGGGGAGCAAACAGG
rnacentral:rRNA from 1 species